rnacentral:lncRNA from 1 species
GGGGCUCCAUCCUUACCUGGGGCAGGUCACUCCAGUGUGUGCUGUCGCGUUUCACUGUAGGAAGUGUAGACCUCAGUAAAAAUCCCAAGGAAAACCCCCAGACCCACUCAGGCUUCCUUCCUGCUUUGAACCACCUCAUGGCCCCCACCACACUGCCACUAAGCCACACUCCUGGCAGCCUCUGAGAUACCCCCUACCUGACCCUCCGCCACUCUCCUCCUCUGCCUCCCUCACUCCCAGCCUCUCUGGCCCCCUGGCUUUCCCUCCAACUCCAGGCUCCCCUCUCUCUGCCUCAGGGCCUUUGCCCCUGUCUUGCUCCCUGCCCCAGGCUCUUCCCCUCAGCCCUUCCCAGGUCUGGCUCCUUCUCCCUAGGCCUCAGCUCCAGUGUCUCAUCCCCAGAGACCUUCCCAGACCACCAUGUCUCAGACAGCCCCGGCUGCCUCCUGCCUGCCCUGCACCAGCCCUGAGCCAUCGCCUCAUUUUAUUCUCAUUCUAACUUGGAUAAUGGGAUCUGCCUCUUACCAACUGUGACCUUAGGCACAGGAUCAGCCCCAAAUUGAGCCUCAUUUUGUCCAUCUGUAAAAUGAGGAUGGCACUAGAGCCCCGUCUAGGGUGAAUGUGAAGGUCAGAGCCUGCACAAGUUGCUCAAUCAAGAAGAAGCUGCCAGGCACAGUGGCUUGUGCCUGUAACCCCAGAACUUUGAGAGGCUGAGCGGGGUGGAUCACCCAAAGUCAGGAGUUCAAGACCAGCCUGGCCAACAUGGUGAAAUGCCGUCUCUACUAAAAAUACAAAAAUUCGCUGGGUGUGGUGGUGGGUGCUUGUAAUCCUAGCUACUCAGGAGGCUGAGACAGGAGAAUCCCUUGAACCCAGAGGCAGAGGUUACAGUGAGCCGAGAUCGUG